UGGGGAAUAUUGGGCAAUGGGCGAAAGCCUGAUCCAGCAAUGCCGCGUGAGUGAUGAAGGCCUUAGGGUUGUAAAGCUCUUUUACCAGGGAUGAUAAUGACAGUACCUGGAGAAUAAGCUCCGGCUAACUCCGUGCCAGCAGCCGCGGUAAUACGGAGGGAGCUAGCGUUGUUCGGAAUUACUGGGCGUAAAGGGCGCGUAGGCGGUCUGUUGCGUCAGGUGAGAAAGCCCCGGGCUCAACCUGGGAGGUGCACUUGAUACGGGCAGGCUAGAAUCCGGGAGAGGAUGGUGGAAUUCCCAGUGUAGAGGUGAAAUUCGUAGAUAUUGGGAAGAACACCGAUGGCGAAGGCAGCCAUCUGGACCGGUAUUGACGCUGAGGCGCGAAAGCGUGGGGAGCAAACAGGAUUAGAUACCCCCGUAGUCC
rnacentral:rRNA from 1 species